rnacentral:rRNA from 1 species
GUAGGUGGCAAGCGUUGUCCGGAAUUAUUGGGCGUAAAGCGCGCGCAGGGCGGUUCUUUAAGUCUGAUGUGAAAGCCCACGGCUCAACCGUGGAGGGUCAUUGGAAACUGGAGAACUUGAGUACAGAAGAGGAAAGCGGAAUUCCACGUGUAGCGGUGAAGUGCGUAGGGAUGUGGAGGAACACCAGUGGCGAAGGCGGCUUUCUGGUCUGUAACUGACGCUGAGGCGCGAAAGCGUGGGGAGCAAACAGGAUUAGAUACCCUGGUAGUCCACGCCGUAAACGAUGAGUGCUAAGUGUUAGGGGGUUUCCGCCCCUUAGUGCUGCAGCUAACGCAUUAAGCACUCCGCCUGGGGAGUACGGCCGCAAGGCUG